AGUCAAUAGAUACCCUGGUAGUCCCAGCUGUAAACGAUGCGCGUUAGGUGUAUCGGUGACCACGAGUCACCGAGGUGCCGAAGGGAAACCGUGAAACGUGCCGCCUGGGAAUUACGGUCGCAAGGCUGAAACUUAAAGGAAUUGGCGGGGGAGCACCACAACAGGUGGAGCCUGCGGUUUAAUCGGACUCAACGCCGGGAAGCUCACCGGAUAAGACAGCUGAAUGAUAGCCGGGUUGAAGACUCUGCUUGACUAGCUGAGAGGAGGUGCAUGGCCGUCGUCAGUUCGUACUGUGAAGCAUCCUGUUAAGUCAGGCAACGAGCGAGACCCACGCCAACAGUUGCCAGCAUGUCCUCCGGGAUGGUGGGGACACUGUUGGGACCGCCUCUGCUAAAGAGGAGGAAGGAAUGGGCAACGGUAGGUCAGCAUGCCCCGAAUUAUCCGGGCUACACGCGGGCUACAGUGGUCAGGACAAUGGGUAUCAACACCGAAAGGUGAAGGCAAUCUCCUAAACCUGUCCUUAGUUCGGAUUGUGGG
rnacentral:rRNA from 1 species